rnacentral:rRNA from 1 species
UACGUAGGGUGCAAGCGUUGUCCGGAAUUAUUGGGCGUAAAGAGCUCGUAGGCGGUCUGUCGCGUCGGCUGUGAAAUCCCGGGGCUCAACCCGGGCCUGCAGUCGAUACGGGCAGACUAGAGUGCGGUAGGGGAGACUGGAAUUCCUGGUGUAGCGGUGAAAUGCGCAGAUAUCAGGAGGAACACCGAUGGCGAAGGCAGGUCUCUGGGCAUUAACUGACGCUGGAGGAGCGAAAGCAUGGGGAGCGAACAGG